AAAAUGAUGUGAUAUAAAACUUGUGAUCUAAUCGGUAGUGGAGUUCAUAUCUAAUAUCCACGAAGACGCACUAUUAGCUCCAGAUAUCUUGAACCAACGGAUUGAAGGUAAUAGCCCCCAUCUUCAAAUCUAACUCAUUAUCAUAAUCAAAUCAUCCUCCACCACCAACUGAUCAGUUUUGAGCAUCAGAAACAUGAAGAAGAUGCCCUCCCAAGCUGCUCGAAACUCUGCACCGAUAAUGAAACUUUCAAAUAAACUAAUCCCUCCCAAAUGAACUUAGAAUCUAGGUCUCU
rnacentral:lncRNA from 1 species